GACGAACGCUGGCGGCGUGCUUAACACAUGCAAGUCGAGCGGAGCGGCGAACGGGUGAGUAACGCGUGAGUAACUGCCCCCCUCUCUGGGAUAACAGUUGGAAACGGCUGCUAAUACCGGAUAGUGUGGGAUGACUGGGGUCCUAUCUGCUUGUUGGUGGGGUAGUGGCAUACCAAGGCGACGACGGGUCCCCGGCCUGAGAGGGGGAACGGCCACAAUGGGCUGAGAUACGGCCCAAACUGCAACGGUAGGCAGUAGUGGGGAAUAUUGCACAAUGGGGGAAACCCUGAUGCAGCAACGCGCGUGCGGGAUGACGGCCUUCGGGUUGUAAACCGCUUUCAGCUAUGACGCGGUAGUGGCAGAAGAAGCACCGGCUAACUACGUGCCAGCAGCCGCGGUAAUUC
rnacentral:rRNA from 1 species